CCUACGGGGUGCAGCAGUGGGGAAUAUUGGACAAUGGGCGAAAGCCUGAUCCAGCCAUGCCGCGUGUGUGAAGAAGGCCUUCGGGGUGUAAAGCACUUUCAGUGGGGAAGAAAGCCUUGGGGCUAAUACCCUCGAGGAAGGACAUCACCCACAGAAGAAGCACCGGCUAACUCCGUGCCAGCAGCCGCGGUAAUACGGAGGGUGCGAGCGUUAAUCGGAAUUACUGGGCGUAAAGCGCGCGUAGGCGGUCUGAUAAGCCGGUUGUGAAAGCCCCGGGCUCAACCUGGGAACGGCAUCCGGAACUGUCAGGCUAGAGUGCAGGAGAGGAAGGUAGAAUUCCCGGUGUAGCGGUGAAAUGCGUAGAGAUCGGGAGGAAUACCAGUGGCGAAGGCGGCCUUCUGGACUGACACUGACGCUGAGGUGCGAAAGCGUGGGUAGCAAACAGGAUUAGAUACCCCGGUAGUC
rnacentral:rRNA from 1 species